rnacentral:rRNA from 1 species
GUCUACAGCCGUGCCACCCUGAACAUGCCCGAUCUCGUCUGAUCUCGGGAGCUAAGCAGGGUCGGGCCUGGUUAGUACUUGGAUGGGAGAAAUAUGUCAUCUACACUGGACGGUGCGGCAGGAA